rnacentral:rRNA from 1 species
GGUAGUCCACGCUGUAACGGAUGUCGAUUUGGAGUUUGUUGCCUAGAGUGAUGGGCUCCGAAGCUAACGCGAUUAAUCGACCGCCUGGGGAGUACGGCCGCAAGGUUAAAACUCAAAUGAAUUGACGGGGGCCCGCACAAGCGGUGGAGCAUGUGGUUUAAUUCGAUGCAACGCGAAGAACCUUACCUGGUCUUGACAUCCAUAGAAUUCUGCAGAGAUGUGGGAGUGCCUUCGGGAACUAUGAGACAGGUGCUGCAUGGCUGUCGUCAGCUCGUGUUGUGAAAUGUUGGGUUAAGUCCCGCAACGAGCGCAACCCUUAUUCUUUGUUGCCAGCGAUUUGGUCGGGAACUCAAAGGAGACUGCCGUUGAUAAAGCGGAGGAAGGUGGGGACGACGUCAAGUCAUCAUGGCCCUUACGACCAGGGCUACACACGUGCUACAAUGGCGUAUACAAAGGGAAGCGAAGGUGCGAGCUGGAGCGGAUCUCAUAAAGUACGUCUAAGUUCGGAUUGGAGUCUGCAGCUCGACUCCAUGAAGUCGGAAUCGCUGGUAAUCGUAGAUCAGAAUGCUACGGUGAAUACGUUCCCGGGCCUUGUACACACCGCCCGUCACACCAUGGGAGUGGGUUGCACCAGAAGUAGAUAGCUUAACCGCGAGGGGGGCGUUUACCACGGUGUGAUUCAUGACUGGGGUGAAGUCGUAACAAGGUAACCA